rnacentral:rRNA from 1 species
AUUGAACGCUGGCGGCAUGCCUUACACAUGCAAGUCGAACGGCAGCACGGGAGCUUGCUCCUGGUGGCGGGUGGCGAACGGGUGAGUAAAGCAUCGGAACGUAUCCGGAAGUGGGGGAUAACGUAGCGAAAGUUACGCUAAUACCGCAUAUUCUGUGAGCAGGAAAGAGGGGGGAUCGCAAGACCUCUCGCUUUCGGAGCGGCCGAUGUCGGAUUAGCUAGUUGGUGGGGUAAAGGCUCACCAAGGCAACGAUCCGUAGCGGGUCUGAGAGGAUGAUCCGCCACACUGGAACUGAGACACGGUCCAGACUCCUACGGGAGGCAGCAGUGGGGAAUUUUGGACAAUGGGCGCAAGCCUGAUCCAGCCAUGCCGCGUGAGUGAAGAAGGCCUCGGUUGUAA